rnacentral:rRNA from 1 species
UACGUAGGGGGCAAGCGUUGUCCGGAAUCAUUGGGCGUAAAGCGCGUGUAGGCGGCUCGGUAAGUCUGCUGUGAAAGUCCAGGGCUCAACCCUGGGAUGCCGGUGGAUACUGUCGAGCUCGAGUCCGGAAGAGGCGAGUGGAAUUCCUGGUGUAGCGGUGAAAUGCGCAGAUAUCAGGAGGAACACCAAUGGCGAAGGCAGCUCGCUGGGACGUGACUGACGCUAAGACGCGAAAGCGUGGGGAGCAAACAGG